GACGUAUAGAAAGAUUCCGUUUAUAUCUAACAAAUGGAUCCGACAUUCUUGAUACUUCUGCGGUGUUGUGUUACAAAGAUUCGGGACCUGGCACACCUGCAUUUACACAAGAAAGAGUCUGCAACAUGCCUGCAAAAAGAUUUUUCUUCUUCAACAGUAGAGAAAAUGAAGACACCUUUGUAGAAUUAUGCUUUGUAAAAGUACAUGGCUGCUGGAAAGGAACUUGGGGAACAAACUGUUCCCAGCAGUGUUCAGCAAAGUGUAUACACCAACAAUGUUACCCUGGAAAUGGUUCUUGUGUUUGGGGUUGUCAUUCAAUGAACUGCCUUCAAAACACAUGCGAUGCUAAUACACGUGUUUGUACUACAGGUUGUACGCUUGAACGUGCGGGAACACACUGUUCACAUCAUAAUAUGGCACACGACGGAACUGCAAAUCAGCAUCCUUCUAACUCCAAUCGACCUGCUAGUUUAUCAAUCGAUGGAAACAGAACGUCCUGUAUCAGUUUUACAACAACUGAGCAAAGUGCAUAUCUACAAAUUGACACUGGAUCUUUUAGUAUUAUAGCUACAGUUUAUCUAGCUG